rnacentral:rRNA from 1 species
UAAUACGAAGGUGGCGAAUGUUGCUCGGAUUCACUGGGCGUAAAGCGUCUGUAGGUGGCUUGUUAAGUUAGAGGUGAAAGCCCCGCGCUCAACGUGGGAACUGCCUUUAAAACUGGCGAGCUUGAGAGUAUCAGAGGUAGGCGGAAUAACUGGUGUAGAGGUAAAAUUCAUAGAUAUCAGUUGGAACAUCCAUGGCGAAGGCAGCUUACUGGGGUAUUUCUGACACUGAGAGACGAAAGCGUGGGGAGCAAACAGGAUUAGAUACCCUGGUAGUCCACGCCCUAAACGAUGCAUACUCGCUGUCGGGUUCGCUACAGAACUCGGUGGCUUAGCUAACGCGGUAAGUAUGCCGCCUGGGGAUUACGGCCGCAAGGUUAAAACUCAAAUGAAUUGACGG